UGAUGAAACCUCUUUUCUUUAUAAAUUACCCAGUCUCAGGUAUUUCUUUAUAGCAGUGUGAAAACUGACUAAUACACCAUCCAUCUCCAGAACUCUUUUCAUCUUCUGCUACUGAAAUUUGGGCCUCAUUAAAGAGUAACUCCUCAUUCGCCAUCUGUCUCCGUGGGUUUGACUGCUCAGUAGAACACCUGAAGGAGAAGCUCAUUAGCCAGGCCCAGGAAGUGAGCCGACUGCGAUCUGAGCUGGGGGCACCGACUUGGAGAAGCACCGGGACCUGCUGAUGGUGGAGAAUGA
rnacentral:lncRNA from 10 species